rnacentral:lncRNA from 1 species
UUUCUCCCACGUUAGUUCCCCAUCUUGAAACAUUUACCUCAACUCUCUUAUUCAUGGCCCCUUUGUCUACCUAUUGUGCUAGUAUUUGCAAACAAGAGAAGAGAUCCCUUCAAGUUCAAUAUCAAAGCUUAGAAAUUACCACAUCAAUUAGAGAAAAAAAUAAAAUUACACACUACUGCUAUUGUAAAAAGUAACAGGAAACUUCCUUAUACCUAUAUAUAAUUUAUCCACCACAAUUGUAAUAGAAAAUAACCUAAAAGACUACUAUAUAUAUUUAAAAGGUACCCUCCACUACCAUUACGGAAAAAUAACCCAAAAUACCACUAUACAUGUUUAUAGCCAUUAAAAAAAAGCAAAUGCCACUUACACUUUCUCUAUUACCC